UUACACCUACCCACUGAGUUGUUAAAACUCGCUCUGGGUGGGAGAUGGUACUGGGCAGCGAACCCUGUACCUACCAGCUUUAUGUUGGAUGAUUUUAAUUACAACGUCACCAUAGUAUCACAUGGCGAUGCAUCGCUGUUAAAUUAAUCUUUGAGCUACUUUUUAUUUCACAUUUGGAUAAUAAUUUAUAUUUUCUUAGUCCCAAAUGUGAAUGAAUGAUAAGAAUUUGUGAAUGUCACAAAUAUUUAGAUUUUUAUCUUAAUUAACAAUUAAUGUGUAUCAGACAUCACUGUGAAAAACAUUUGAGGGAAAUGAUUAAUUGCUCCCCUAACUUAGAUUCGGUUUAAUGUUUAGCGUAAAAAUCAGUCUUCCAAGACGAGCGUUAUUGACAAACUGCUGGCUGAACUUAUUCUUGAAUUUUUUUUUUAAAACCUAGCUGUCCCAUCUGCGCAGGCGCAACAGACUAAGCAGUAAACCAGUACCAAGUUCAGCCAGCAAACGUUUCGUUAACUUAGGCGAAGUAUUUGGUUCCCAACGUGGCCAUUUGGUUUACUGUGAAGCAUAUAAUCCAGUCUAGCGGACGUAUUACCACAAUUACCUAAACAAAGAAGUGAAUGCAGUUUUAGAAGUCGAAGUUUUAAUGACGGACACUUACAGUUACAAGUGUUGGUCAUGUGAUUCGACACGUCAUCAAUCAUCCAAAGUUGUCUCCCGUCCUACAUUGACUAAUUUCCAAUUACCAUAGUCACUAUAAUUAAGAUGGGAAGCCUAUUCAAACAAUAAGAAGACGUUGGAAGCAGGCGAUUUGCCUACACAGACACAACCACAGCUUAAACUGAACAUAGAGGCACGACUUGAAUAUUAAAUGUUCUGAAAAUAUAGUAGACAGAAUCAUGCUCCAAAUCAGACACCAGAAGAUGAUAAGACGACAAACAGAGAUGAAAGAGAAUGUUACCACGGUGACGGUGCAGUGUUGCCACGGUGAUGACAGCAAACAAUUGACAUGAUGCAGGAACCCACCUCCGCAGUGACAUGUUUGAUACUUGGUGGGUAUAGACGUCACCACCAAAUAUAUCAAACAUAUCUGGCAGAAGUAGGUUGCACACACUUUCCACACAGUUGUCUACCCUGGACACAAGCAACCACUAGGUGGCGUACGACUCACAAAAAGCUCUGGUGAAAGAAAGUCCUUUUUUUUCUUUUUUGUGCAAAAACAAUAAAUAUAUCAUGCUGUGUGCUGGGAACACUCAGAAUCUAAGACUGGUAAAUAACAUUUAAUAUUUAUUUCAAAGAUUUAUUUAUCUUAUUCAUUUUAAUUUUAAAAUUUUAUUUAAAAUUUAACCAUCUAUAAUGUAACCAUCUAUAUUAAAAAACCAAAAACAAUAUUGACAUAUUGUCAGAAAUAAACUGACAUCUUUAAAAAGACAUAAAAUAGAAUUUCAAAGAUUUAUUUAUCUUAUUCAUUUUAAAAAUUUAAUUUAAAAUUUAACCAUCUAUAUUAAAAAACCAAAAACAAUAUUGACAUAUCAUCAGAAAUAAAACUCACAUCUUUAAAAGAAAUAAAAUAAAGUUUCUUUUGUUAUUACAUGUAUUACAAUCAUAUUUUACCUUAUAAAAGAUUAAAUGCAUAUCAACUAUUGUUUUUUUUUUUUUUUUUUUUUUUUUUUUUUAGAACUGCUAUCUGAAAAUAAUUUUAGCUAACAGAUGGUACUGACUUUGUUAUAGUAGAAUCAGUUUUUAUCUUUUUAAACAUACAUAAUUUCUGACAACAGCCAUCAAUGCUAGUGUCAGUACAGAUAUUCCAGAACUUUCUAGCCUUUUUUUUUUUUUUAAUAACAUACUGUUUAAAAAUCUUUCUUUCUAUAACAUAGUUACAUGUUUCACUAAUUAAUACUUCAGUUGAAAUGAUUCACCAAUUAACUAAUAUUAAAUAAUUCACUAAUUAGAUUACUAACCAUCAGCCUCUUGGCACAACUGCCUAAA
rnacentral:lncRNA from 1 species